rnacentral:rRNA from 1 species
UACAGAGGUCUCAAGCGUUGUUCGGAUUCAUUGGGCGUAAAGGGUGUGUAGGUGGCGCGCUAAGUCGGGUGUGAAAUUUCGGAGCUUAACUCCGAAACUGCAUUCGAUACUGGCGUGCUUGAGGACUGGAGAGGAGACUGGAAUUCAUGGUGUAGCAGUGAAAUGCGUAGAGAUCAGGAGGAACACCGGUGGCGAAGGCGGAUCUCUGGGCCAUUACUGACGCUGAGGAGCGAAAGCGUGGGGAGCGAACAGG